GACGAACGCUGACGGCGUGCUUAACACAUGCAAGUCGAAGGGAGUGGCGAACGGGUGAGUAACACGUGAGUAACCUGCCCUUUUCUUUUGGAUAAGCCUGGGAAACUGGGUCUAAUACUGGUUGGAAUGGGCUGGGCUCGCGGCUUAUCAGCUUGUUGGUGGGGUGAUGGCUUACCAAGGCUUUGACGGGUAGCCGGCCUGAGAGGGGGUUCGGUCACACGGGGACUGGGAUACGGCCCAGACUCCGACGGGAGGAAGCAUUGGGGAAUAUUGGACAAUGGGCGAAAGCCUGAUGCAGCCAUGCCGCGGGUAUGAAGAAGGCCUUCGGGUUGUAAAGUACUUUCAGCGGGGAGGCGUUACCCGCAGAAGAAGCACCGGCUAACUCCGUGCCAGCAGCCGCGGUAAUAC
rnacentral:rRNA from 1 species